UCCCAGACUCCUACGGGAGGCAGCAGUGGGGAAUAUUGCGCAAUGGGCGAAAGCCUGACGCAGCGACGCCGCGUGAGGGAUGAAGGUCUUCGGAUCGUAAACCUCUGUCAGCAGGGAAGAACGGUCACUGUGCUAAUCAGCAGUGAAUUGACGGUACCUGGGGAGGAAGCUCCGGCUAACUACGUGCCAGCAGCCGCGGUAAUACGUAGGGAGCAAGCGUUGUCCGGAAUUACUGGGUGUAAAGGGAGCGUAGGCGGGAUGGCAAGUUGGGUGUUAAAUCUACCGGCUCAACUGGUAGUCGCACUCAAAACUGCUAUUCUUGAGUGAAGUAGAGGCAGGCGGAAUUCCUAGUGUAGCGGUGAAAUGCGUAGAUAUUAGGAGGAACACCAGUGGCGAAGGCGGCCUGCUGGGCUUUUACUGACGCUGAGGCUCGAAAGUGUGGGGAGCAAACAGGAUUAGAUACCCCCGUAGC
rnacentral:rRNA from 1 species